UACGUAGGGUGCAAGCGUUAUCCGGAAUUAUUGGGCGUAAAGAGCUCGUAGGCGGUUUUGUCGCGUCUGCUGUGAAAACCCGAGGCUCAACCUCGGGCCGCAGUGGGUACGGGCAAACUAGAGUGCGGUAGGGGAGAUUGGAAUUCCUGGUGUAGCGGUGGAAUGCGCAGAUAUCAGGAGGAACACCGAUGGCGAAGGCAGAUCUCUGGGCCGUGAACUGACGCUGAGGAGCGAAAGCAUGGGGAGCGAACAGGA
rnacentral:rRNA from 1 species